rnacentral:lncRNA from 1 species
AAAGCAUAGACAAUCGAUUAAUCAGCAAACUUCACUGCGAAGUGACUUUUAAGUCCUACCUUGGGGCAUUAUUUUUGAUGGUAUGUGUGUCUAUUCGUCCGUCUGUCUGUCCCGCUUCAGGUUAAAAUUUUUGGUCGAGGUAGAAAGUAUAAACAAACACUGGACACUUUUAAUUUGCAAAACACUCAUUUGCAAAUCCGCCGCCG